UUUUUUGAAUUUUUUUAUGUUUCUUAAAUAGUUUUUUAGAAUUUUUUUGAAGUAGCGUUCGAUGGUUGGUCCAUGUGCUUCAUAUUGAUGGCCAGCUAUAAUCUUUUUCACUGUGUUAAGUAUACGUCAUAGCCCUUUAACAGCCGAUUAAGGAGUAGACAAAAGCAUCUAACUUUAGCAACAUUCAGGACUGUUUUUAACAAAAUUAUACUCAUAAAACGUACUUUCAGAAAAGGAAAAACUUAUAGGAUCAUUCGAGAGGAUACAGGUUUGUGGACAGUGCAGACAACCUGAUAUCUUUGACUCUGACUCCGAGGUAAUCCGUAUUGCUCUCCACGCAUUUAUCCGAAAUUAAGGCGCGAUAUCUAUUGCUUCAGGAAACAUGCCGCUAAAUUUAUUAUACAGUGUAAACUCUGUGUUCCUCCAAGAGACUUUAUCUUUCAUUUCUGAUUGUCUCCGGUCGCUAGCUAUAAGAUGUGGACUUCCUCUUUUUCCAAGCAUCAUGCAUGGAAUCUUGCUACCAUUUCAAUUUGUAACUAAUAACUCUGUGACGAAGAUCGUGAAAGCUAUAACAGAAGAAGUGCAUUGUCAGUGCCAGCAUUGAUCUGAUAUUCAUUAUUGCAGCAAAAAGUUAUUUUCGAAUCAUACUCUUGUGCCCCUUGACGUGGCAAAUUAAAACCCCGUUAUCUGCAGAUAUUGCAAAGCAAGUGUACGUUUCACACUCAGUCUGUUGUGUCCUAUCUGAUAAAGAAUGAAAACCCCUGUGUUUGCUUGGAAAGUCUUUAAUAAAAUAAAACUCCAAGAAUCAGUGUUGUCCUCCUAUGCAGUUUCCUCGCCAAUCAUUCAUCGCGAAACUCAUCGGAGUUCUCUUCCUCUUUCCUUUAUUAAGUAAGGGCUUGAUCUCGUUCUCGAGAGUUCAUUGGCAACGUUGAUCCAUGAACAGCCACAACGGGGCAUAAUGAGGAAAGGUCUACUUGAGGUUGGAUAUUAAAUCCAAGAGAUCCUCUCAAUAAAAAGUUGUCUGCGGAAAAGGUUGCCAGUUACACCCAGAUACAGCAUAUGGAAAUUGUGUUAGGCACUCCAAUGGCCCAUGUAUCUACAUACAGAAUUAGACCUGUCUUAUGCUUCAUUGAAGUUGAAUCCAAGUGCACGGUCUAAUCUUCCCAAAGCUAGUUGAUUUUGAAAGUUGGAGCACUGCUCUUGCGAGAUCGGAAAAGUAUUUGGGAUCUAUUGGCAAUCAGGGAGCUGUAUGUAUUCUCAGAGAUUCUAUCGAGGGGCAACAUGAGGAUGUUAAAGGCAACAAUUACGUGUUCGUGGUAUUUCUACUUGAAAUUGUUAGCAGAAGACCUUAUUGCAAAGACAAAGGCCACUGUUAAUCUCUUUCCUUCUCCCAAGUUUUCUCUACUUGGGUUCUACUGGUGGGUUUGGAAGAUAGGAAUUAAGUCGAUGCGUACGAAAAGUGAGCUCAAAACUGUGAGAUAAUCUUGCUGGUGCGCUGGGCAGGCUAAGGAUUAUCUGGAACGGCUGGAAAUGAUGUCUUACAUGGUAGACCCUGAGCUGAACCACUUCAGCUACGACUACCUCAAGGUGAUAUGCGAGGUUGUGAAACUCUGCCUCGGCCCUGACUUGACCAAACAGCCUUCAGUGAACCAAGUAACCUCUAUGCUGGAGAGUGGGAUCGACACCUCAAUAUUGGCAGAGCUCUAGCAUGGGCGGAGCUAGCUCUCUCGUCCUAAUUGGAGAAACCUUUCAGUCAAAUGGCCUUAUUGGGAGGGUUCCUCCUGAGCUCGGGAAUUUGGCCAGGACCAAUCGAAGCCACAUAGACCGGGUCUCCUCAAUCCAGAAGCAAGCACAAAGAUGUUUCUGACUCACCCUUGCAGCAACCACAGCAGCUUGAAACGGCAAGAAGCCAAGAAUCCAUCAUGCACGCUGCUUCUUGGUAAUGCUGAAGAGCAGUUCAUGGGCGGCAUGCCAAAGGAAAAUCUCAGAUAAGCCACUGGAGCGAAGCUGGAGGCCGAGUAAGAUCCACUCAGAGCAGAUUAUAGCAGGCUGAAAGCAUAAAAAACUAGCCAUUGGCUUCAUUUUCUUGAUGUAUAUUUGCUCCUGUUGAGAAGGUUACCUUGGUACAUUUUGC